rnacentral:rRNA from 1 species
AUUGAACGCUGGCGGCAGGCCUAACACAUGCAAGUCGAGCGGAUGAAGGGAGCUUGCUCCUGGAUUCAGCGGCGGACGGGUGAGUAAUGCCUAGGAAUCUGCCUGGUAGUGGGGGAUAACGUCCGGAAACGGGCGCUAAUACCGCAUACGUCCGGAGGGAGAAAGGGGGGGAUCUUCGGACCUCACGCUAUCAGAGGAGCCUAGGUCGGAUUAGCUAGUUGGUGGGGUAAAGGCCUACCAAGGCGACGAUCCGUAACUGGUCUGAGAGGAUGAUCAGUCACACUGGAACUGAGACACGGUCCAGACUCCUACGGGAGGCAGCAGUGGGGAAUAUUGGACAAUGGGCGAAAGCCUGAUCCAGCCAUGCCGCGUGUGUGAAGAAGGUCUUCGGAUUGUAAAGCACUUUAAGUUGGGAGGAAGGGCAGUAAGUUAAUACCUUGCUGUUUUGACGUUACCAACAGAAUAAGCACCGGCUAACUUCGUG